rnacentral:rRNA from 1 species
GGUAACAACUAUCCAACCUGCCGUCUACUCUUGGACAGCCUUCUGAAAGGAAGAUUAAUACAAGAUGGCAUCAUGAGUCCGCAUGUUCACAUGAUUAAAGGUAUUCCGGUAGACGAUGGGGAUGCGUUCCAUUAGAUAGUAGGCGGGGUAACGGCCCACCUAGUCUUCGAUGGAUAGGGGUUCUGAGAGGAAGGUCCCCCACAUUGGAACUGAGACACGGUCCAA